AUUCCGCGGGAUCAUUGCGUCUCUGCGAGUUCGCGAAUACGAAUGCUUAGCUCUCUCCAAUCCAUCCUAAACGCUGGCGGUUUGCCUAUUUGCUGCGUGCGUGGUGGAGCGCGAGUCUUGCCCAACAUGACCUGCUGAUGUUUUUCUUUAUCAACCUUGUGUGUACGGGGCUGACUAAUUACCUCGAAUAAAUUGGUAGUUUUUAGUUUUCAUCCAUGUUAAAUUGACCAAUAUUUACGAGAUAGUGGG
rnacentral:lncRNA from 1 species